rnacentral:misc_RNA from 1 species
GAUGAAGAACGUAGCGAAAUGCGAUAAGUAAUGUGAAUUGCAGAAUUCAGUGAAUCAUCGAGUCUUUGAACGCACAUUGCGCCCCCUGGUAAUCCGGGGGGCAUGCCUGUCCGAGCGUCAUUGCCGCCCUCAAGCACGGCUUGUGUGUUGGGCCCCCGCCCCCCGGCUUCGGGGGGCGGGCCCGAAAGGCAGCGGCGGCACCGCGUCCGGUCCUCGAGCGUAUGGGGCUUCGUCACUCGCUCUGUAGGCCCGGCCGGCGCCCGCCGGCGACCCCAAUCAAUCUUUCCAGGUUGACCUCGGAUCAGGUAGGGAUACCCGCUGAACUUAAGCAUAUCAAUAAGCGGAGGA